GACGAACGCUGGCGGCGUGCCUAAUACAUGCAAGUAGAACGCUGAAGGAGGAGCUUGCUUCUCCGGAUGAGUUGCGAACGGGUGAGUAACGCGUAGGUAACCUGCCUGGUAGCGGGGGAUAACUAUUGGAAACGAUAGCUAAUACUGCAUAACAGUAGAUGUUGCAUGACAUUUGCUUAAAAGGUGCAAUUGCAUCACUACCAGAUGGACCUGCGUUGUAUUAGCUAGUUGGUGAGGUAACGGCUCACCAAGGCGACGAUACAUAGCCGACCUGAGAGGGGGAUCGGCCACACUGGGACUGAGACACGGCCCAGACUCCUACGGGAGGCAGCAGUAGGGAAUCUUCGGCAAUGGACGGAAGUCUGACCGAGCAACGCCGCGUGAGUGAAGAAGGGUUUCGGAUCGUAAAGCUCUGUUGUAAGAGAAGAACGAGUGUGAGAGUGGAAAGUUCACACUGUGACGGUAUCUUACCAGAAAGGGACGGCUAACUACGUG
rnacentral:rRNA from 1 species